rnacentral:rRNA from 1 species
AUCAAGAUACAAAGAGUAUAUGGUGGAUGCCUUGGCACAGACUGCCGAUGAAGGACGUGAUAAGCUGCGAUAAGCUACGGGGAAGUGCAAAUAACUUUCGAUCCGUAGAUUUCCGAAUGGGACAACCUACCCUUAUGGGUAUCU